rnacentral:rRNA from 1 species
AGAGUUUGAUCCUGGCUCAGAUUGAACGCUGGCGGCAGGCCUAACACAUGCAAGUCGAACGGUAACAGGAAGAAGCUUGCUUCUUUGCUGACGAGUGGCGGACGGGUGAGUAAUGUCUGGGAAACUGCCUGAUGGAGGGGGAUAACUACUGGAAACGGUAGCUAACACCGCAUAACGUCGCAAGACCAAAGAGGGGGACCUUCGGGCCUCUUGCCAUCGGAUGUGCCCAGAUGGGAUUAGCUAGUAGGUGGGGUAACGGCUCACCUAGGCGACGAUCCCUAGCUGGUCUGAGAGGAUGACCAGCCACACUGGAACUGAGACACGGUCCAGACUCCUACGGGAGGCAGCAGUGGGGAAUAUUGCACAAUGGGCGCAAGCCUGAUGCAGCCAUGCCGCGUGUAUGAAGAAGGCCUUCGGGUUGUAAAGUACUUUCAGCGGGGAGGAAGGGAGUAAAGUUAAUACCUUUGCUCAUUGACGUUACCCGCAGAAGAAGCACCGGCUAACUCCGUGCC